rnacentral:rRNA from 1 species
AUUGAACGCUGGCGGCAUGCUUUACACAUGCAAGUCGAACGGUAACAGGCCGCAAGGUGCUGACGAGUGGCGAACGGGUGAGUAAUGCAUCGGAACGUGCCCAGUCGGGGGGGAUAACUGCUCGAAAGAGCAGCUAAUACCGCAUACGAUCUAUGGAUGAAAGCGGGGGACCGUAAGGCCUCGCGCGAUUGGAGCGGCCGAUGUCAGAUUAGGUAGUUGGUGGGGUAAAGGCUCACCAAGCCAACGAUCUGUAGCUGGUCUGAGAGGACGACCAGCCACACUGGGACUGAGACACGGCCCAGACUCCUACGGGAGGCAGCAGUGGGGAAUUUUGGACAAUGGGCGCAAGCCUGAUCCAGCAAUGCCGCGUGCAGGAAGAAGGCCUUCGGGUUGUAAACUGCUUUUGUACGGAACGAAACGGCUCUGGUUAAUACCUGGGGCUAAUGACGGUACCGUAAGAAUAAGCACCGGCUAACUACGUGCCAGCCGCCGCAGUAA